rnacentral:lncRNA from 1 species
AUUUUUCGGCUGUUUCUGAACCCAACUGAACCAAAGCCACGCAACACUAAGUCUGAACCCACGCAUUCUGUGCAUUUUCUUCAUUUUUAACAAGCCGCGUUACAACAGUCUGAACCCACGCAACACUAAGUCAGAACCAACUGCUUCAAUUUUUAUCCAAUAAAGGUAAUAUAGAUGCAGGUCAGCCCAACAGAUGAGGCAAAAUUAGUAGUGCGGCUUUGUACCAAUAAACAUACGAUUCCAUGAUCCAGAUGAAGUUUGACUGACUUAAACUCUAACAACAACUCAAUCACUCAAAAGGUUACUAGCUAGCAUGGGACUUCUUCAGGAUGACACACUCAUACUUGACCUGGAACCACUUCAUGGCAUCUUUUUUUCAUGGCAUCGUUUUUUCAUGGCAUCUUCCUUGGUCACCCUUUGGUGGAUCCCAACACAGACCUUGCAUCGGCAUCACCGGGGACGCGGUAUCCAGCAUGCUCCAGAACAACAAAGAGGUCCAUACUCCAUACCAUAAAUACCAGUUGAUGGACAAGGUUACAACUUACAAGUUCAAUACCUGUUCAGGAAGUCAUACCUGAGGGAAUUAAUCCAGUAAGUUUGAAGUAUGUAGGAGAAUAUCAUAUCAAUAUUAGCUUGCAAACCAUAGUUCACAGAGGAACACAAAACACUUAUCGAGAACAAGGUUACAACUUACAAGUUCAGACAUACAUAAAGUAUGUUAACUAUCAAACCUAAUGGACAACAUACAGGUAUAACCGAUACAACCAAACAAGGCAAGGUAUUAUAUAGAUAACAUUUAGAUUUCUUUACUUGAAAAGGACAGACAAAAUAUACCAUAGACCUUUCUGUAGUAGAAGCACAAAAUAACAAUUGACCAUAGACCUUUCUGCACUAGAACCGAACAAGGCAAGGCAAGGUAUUAAGAAAGAUGUGAACACAUGAGAUAAAAUCUAGAGACGUGAACACAGAAGAUAAAUUCACAGACCUGGAACUACUCGUCAUCACCACCAAUAUUGUGACCAGUGUGAUGUUCAUCAUUACUACGAUAUUGCAUCAUAGUUUCAUCGUGGUCAUCCUCCUCCUCGCUUUCAUCCAAUAAUUCAAUAUGUUGUUUGACAAGUUUUGCUGCUACAACAGGAUCAAAAAAGUGUUCUAAAAAAUAAGCAAUCAUGUAGGAAGAAGAACAGGAGGUUUGCGCCGCGCAGAACUUGUGGCUUUUC